rnacentral:misc_RNA from 1 species
ACCUCCGGAUAGUCUUCGGCCUUUUUAUCUCCCACAAAAUCAUGGUGGUAGCUAUGGGCACUUGACACUGAAUGUCUCGGAACAUAUUGAUGAUUGCUUGGGGCCGCUGGAUGCAGAAGAUAAACAAGAUCAAGACCUUGUCAUUGCAGAUAAAAAAGGACCACUUGUUGUUUCAACAGGUCCAGCUGUGUUCUACCCAAAUCCUCCAAACCCUUCUAA